UACAGAGGUCCCAAGCGUUGUUCGGAUUCACUGGGCGUAAAGGGUGCGUAGGCGGUCGGGUAAGUCUGAUGUGAAAUCUCACAGCUUAACUGUGAAACUGCAUUGGAUACUAUUCGGCUUGAGAGUUGGAGGGGGGACUGGAAUUCUCGGUGUAGCAGUGAAAUGCGUAGAUAUCGAGAGGAACACCAGUGGCGAAGGCGGAUCUCUGGGCCUUACCUGACGCUGAGGCGCGAAGGCCAGGGGAGCAAACGGG
rnacentral:rRNA from 1 species